CCACACAACUUUCAGAAGAAGAA
rnacentral:snRNA from 1 species